UAGUCCAUGCCGUAAACGAUGGGUACUAGGUGUUGGAAGGCAAGCCCUUUCAGUGCCGUAGCUAACGCGUUAAGUACCCCGCCUGGGGAGUACGAUCGCAAGGUUGAAACUCAAAGGAAUUGACGGGGGCCCGCACAAGCGGUGGAGCAUGUGGUUUAAUUCGAUGCAACGCGAAGAACCUUACCUGGGGCUUAAACUGUACUGGACCGUUACAGAGAUGUAACUUUUCGACUUGUCGAACUAGUAUAGAGGUGCUGCAUGGCUGUCGUCAGCUCGUGUCGUGAGAUGUUGGGUUAAGUCCCGUAACGAGCGCAACCCUUACUGCUAAUUGCCAGCGAGUAAUGUCGGGGGACUUUAGCGGUACUGCCUGCGUUAAGCAGGAGGAAGGUGGGGAUGGACGUCAAGUCCUCAUGGGCCUUUAUGUCCAGGGGCUACACACGUGCUANAAUGGUGGGUACAGGAGUGGCAGCUACAUCGUGAGAUGAU
rnacentral:rRNA from 1 species